rnacentral:rRNA from 1 species
CCGCCUGGGGAGUACGGUCGCAAGAUUAAAACUCAAAGGAAUUGACGGGGACCCGCACAAGCGGUGGAUGAUGUGGAUUAAUUCGAUGCAACGCGAAAAACCUUACCUACCCUUGACAUGUCUGGAAUCCCGAAGAGAUUUGGGAGUGCUCGCAAGAGAACCGGAACACAGGUGCUGCAUGGCUGUCGUCAGCUCGUGUCGUGAGAUGUUGGGUUAAGUCCCGCAACGAGCGCAACCCUUGUCAUUAGUUGCUACAUUCAGUUGGGCACUCUAAUGAGACUGCCGGUGACAAACCGGAGGAAGGUGGGGAUGACGUCAAGUCCUCAUGGCCCUUAUAGGUGGGGCUACACACGUCAUACAAUGGCUGGUACAAAGGGUUGCCAACCCGCGAGGGGGAGCUAAUCCCAUAAAACCAGUCGUAGUCCGGAUCGCAGUCUGCAACUCGACUGCGUGAAGUCGGAAUCGCUAGUAAUCGUGGAUCAGAAUGUCACGGUGAAUACGUUCCCGGGUCUUGUACACACCGCCCGUCACACCAUGGGAGCGGGUCUCGCCAGAAGUAGUUAGCCUAACCGCAAGGAGGGCGAUUACCACGGCGGGGUUCGUGACUGGGGUGAAGUCGUAACAAGUACCAAUCG